GCGGAGCUGGCCGAGGUGCACCGGCUGCUCGCCCUGCUCCGGACCGGGCGCGAGCGGCGCCCGUCCCGCAGGUUCCGGCCGGCGCGCCGGG
rnacentral:tRNA from 2 species